rnacentral:lncRNA from 1 species
GUGACGUGGCGUGAGGCGAAGUGGGGGUCGCCCGAAAACUUUUUGACCAAUCGUAGAGGGCUUAUUGCAGAAAUGGAAAAGAAAAGUUUGGAAUAACCAUACG